rnacentral:lncRNA from 1 species
UUUUUUCAGCUGUUCUCCCGCCAAAGGUGUUAGAAGAAGUGGAAGAAACAAAAUACAAAGACACUAUUAAAAGUGGAAUUCACGUAAUCCUUGAUAACAGGCCAAUAUUGAAGGAUUUCAAAGACUUAUCUGAGCCAGAGGAACUUUCUGAGACAGAAUAUGACAGAGACCACUCUCAAGGCGUCAAGAGUAUCAAUGAACUUGUGCACCGACCAGUUUUACCUGCUACCUACUGAUACCACAUCAAAAGCUUGUUUACAAAAAAAAAACAUAUUUAUAUUGAGCGAGAUUUCAACUGUUCGAGGAAAAAGCAGUCCACCAGGUAAGGUGCAAGCUGGGAAGAGAAAAAUGAAGUUUUAGUCUAAUGAAACAUUUUUAUCAAAUAUGUUUUCAUUGUACCCAUGUUGGUUUGAAGAAAGAAUGUGAAACUUAAAAAGGAGAGCUAUCAGUGUUUAAAAUAACAGUACAGUCCAACUUUUAUUCAUUGAUUCAGACUAAUCUUGACGUUUUUCACCUGUGAUAAUUUUUUCUUUCGAACGCUUUUUAAAGUGGAAAAAAAAGCGUGUGUUUGCACCUUUAAGCUUUUACGUCACAUAUAGUCUCUACUGAUAUAAACCAAAAUAUCAACUGAAUAAUACAAUUGGUUAUUUGUUUAAGUUCUUCUGCAAUGCAGUAUAUGACAUUAAAUGUCAAAUAUGUCUUUAAAAUGGUGUGUUUAGCUUUGUAUCCCAAUGCUUACAAUUAAUGAAAUAAAACCCGAUAAAAACUACUUAAAUUUUAUUUACUUUCCAAACUGUCUUAAAGCAUUAAUAAAAGAUAAAACUUAACAUAAGAUUUCCUCAAUCACUUAUACUUAAGUUUGAAAAAGUAUUUUUUGAGAUAUAUCAGAAUUAUUUAUCCAUUUAGCAAAACGUUUCUUAAUUAUUUAUUAGACUAUAGAUUUAUACGUGUGUAACUGCAUAAAACGCGAACAUACUUAAUUAGUCACCUUUUUUUGAACAAUAUAUUUCCAUGUUUAUAUUAUGUACUCAUUUAUUUUCUAGCUUCAAAUACAUAUUGUUUAUUCUUCACUUUUUACAAAUAUUUCUGUUUGUGCUCAUUGAUUUUGCUUUCAGACAACAAUCUGAUUUUCGAAAGAGUAAAAACUCAUCCUAAAGAGGAAGAAAUUUUGUCUCUACAAAGGGACACUGCGAUCGUUUACCAAAUCUGGCUAUAUUAAUACGUAAAGACGUUCAAAACCUAAAGGCUUUUACUUCUUUAAAUGUACUAUAUUCUACGAUUUGAUGAAUUAUUUCUACAUAUUAUUUUUAAACAAACAUCACAAUUCAGAAGUUUAAAUCUUCUAAAUCAUGUAAACUUGAUAAGAGCCAUGUAUCAGAUCAAGUAGCAUCGACAAGAUAAAUAUAGUUGGAACUCUACUCAUACACGUAUAUAAUGGCGUGUUAAGAAACAGUAGCAAUUUUAUGUAAUUCACUGCAUAUUUUCCCCUCUAUCCAGCGGAAGUCCCGAAUUAAUACAAAAAUAUAUUAUAAAAACACAAAAUAAAAAUUGUUACCGUAUUACUUAUGAAAGCACCAUAAAUCGGAAUUAAAUCAAUCAACAGCACUGAUAUUGGGAAACUUACUCUGUGGUCUUUCGUUAGUAAGAUUAGCAGAAAAUCGUUCGAUUACGCAAGUUAAGUUUAUUUAGAAUAAAAAAUGUUCGUUCUCUAAAUCUUUUUUUCACCCUGUAACAGUUUUUUUGAUAGUUUAUACAAUUUGUAAUCACUGGUGAACAUGUUCUUAUUCUUAUACUCAUUCUUGAUAAAGCAUGAUUCUAAUGUGUAUAUAAGCCAUUUUAUGAAAAGUACACUAAUUUACAGCAUUUUGUGUUUGUGUUCUAUACACAAAGCGUAUUAGUUGUGAAGAUCUGGACUAGUAAGUGUACAAUGCCCCCUGUCCUAUUCUGGGAACCAAAAUCCCUAUACUCUACAUAAAAAUGUAGGAUCAGAUACAUCAGCCUACAGUUUCCUCAGCGAUGUAUUGAAGGAGAAAAUAUAUGGACACUGUUCAGAUGUCACGAAAAUAUAACAUUACUCGGGUAGUCUCCAAAAUUUUCACGAAUUAUCAAAAUGACAGCUUCCAUUUGUCUUAUGCUUACGUUCGUACAAAAGAUAAAAUUCUACUAUAGUAUUCUUUGGUCAUCUUAUAAAUGUUAGUUUAACUUACCUGUUCUGAGAGCGUUCUUUUAAUACUAUAUAUAUAUAUAUAAUGCAAACCAAAAUAUAUGAAUCUUGAGUUAAUAAAACACUUCAUUUUUAA